GUGUAUCUGUGUGUGUGUCUGUGUAUCUAUCAGUGUGUGUAUCUUUGUGUUUGUUUGUAUCUGGGUGUCAGUGUGCACCUGAGUGUAUGUGUGUAUCUGUGUGUGUGUCUGUGUAUCUAUCAGUGUGUGUAUCUUUGUGUUUGUUUGUAUCUGGGUGUCAGUGUGCACCUGAGUGUAUGUGUGUAUCUGUGUUUGUGUUUGUGU